rnacentral:misc_RNA from 1 species
AACGCACAUUGCGCCCCUUGGUAUUCCGAGGGGCAUGCCCGUUCGAGCGUCAUUAUAACCCCUCAAGCCUAGCUUGGUGUUGGGGCCUGUUGUUACCGGCAGCCCUUAAAAUCAGUGGCGGUGCCAUCUGGCUCUAAGCGUAGUAAUACUUCUCGCUACAGGGUCCCGGUGGAUGCUUGCCAUCAACCCCUAAUUUUCUAUGGUUGACCUCGGAUCGGGUAGGGAUACCCGCUGAACUUAA